AAUAGGCAGGGAAUCUGUGUGGUUGAUGUUCUGGAGACUUCUUUUCUUCCUUUUUAUCAUUCGUUAUUUCCAAUUCCCAUCAUCCAAAAUUCUCAUUCUUCAUUCUUCAUUCUUCAUUCGUCACAAUGACUCAUAUCCUUCAUUUUCCUUUCUUCUUGAUCUGUUUUUUUCUCUUCUUCUAACAAACCUAUUUCUUUAUCUCUUUUAAUUUUCUUGUGAAGAUUAUUUCUGUGAUUUGAUUUCUUGAUAAAUAGCUGCUGAGAUGAUGAUGACGAUGGUGAUGGUGAUGAUUGAUUCUUUAACUAAAGAGAGAACGCGGAAAUCAGAGAGAGCGAGAUAGAGAAAGGGCUCAAGCUAGGGCUGGAAAUAAUAAGUCUAAGCAACCAAGAAACGAUGGCUUAACUCCUGAACAACGACGUCAAAGGGAUGCAAAAGCUCUUCAGGAGAAGACAGCGAAGAAAGCCGAAAGGGCUGCCGGAGCAAACAACUUCGAUGGCGGCAGUAAGAAUAAGUAACUGCAGAUUCAGUUUGGAGUAUAUAUAGAAGAAGCUUAUCGUAAAAUUCAUCCACUUCUUUCUGGAUUCAUUUGUAUUUGAACAAUUUUGAAUUUGGUUUGGAAUAGUUGGUGCUGUAGUUUUUGCUGGGGUUCAAAUUCACUCUGUUUGAAUGAGAAUUAUGUCAAUUUCCUCCCA